rnacentral:ncRNA from 1 species
CCUAGAAUCCUGCGCGUUGGUGCCUGCGGCGUGGUUCACACGCCGCGGUUCAACGGGAAGCAGGAGUGAACGCCCCCCGGAAACGGGCAAGGCCGAAGCCGCCUGCGCUGCCCCCGCAACGGUCAAGCAGUCGACGCCGCAAGCGUCAACCUCAUUCAUCAAGCCACUGGGUGCCCUGAAACAGGCACCUGGGAAGGCGGUGGGGUCGCACUGCCAGCCCGGAUACCGGCCAACGAGGCGGCUGCCGC